rnacentral:rRNA from 1 species
UACGUAGGGUGCGAGCGUUGUCCGGAAUUAUUGGGCGUAAAGAGCUCGUAGGCGGUCUGUCGCGUCUGCUGUGAAAUCCCGAGGCUCAACCUCGGGCUUGCAGUGGGUACGGGCAGACUAGAGUGCGGUAGGGGAGACUGGAAUUCCUGGUGUAGCGGUGGAAUGCGCAGAUAUCAGGAGGAACACCGAUGGCGAAGGCAGGUCUCUGGGCCGCAACUGACGCUGAGGAGCGAAAGCAUGGGGAGCGAACAGG